CCUACGGGCGGCAGCAGUGGGGAAUAUUGGACAAUGGGGGCAACCCUGAUCCAGCCAUGCCGCGUGUGUGAAGAAGGCCCUCGGGUUGUAAAGCACUUUCAGUGAGGAAGAACGCCUGGUGGUUAAUACCCAUCAGGAAAGACAUCACUCACAGAAGAAGCACCGGCUAACUCCGUGCCAGCAGCCGCGGUAAUACGGAGGGUGCGAGCGUUAAUCGGAAUUACUGGGCGUAAAGCGCGCGUAGGUGGCUUGAUAAGCCGGUUGUGAAAGCCCCGGGCUCAACCUGGGAACGGCAUCCGGAACUGUCAAGCUAGAGUGCAGGAGAGGAAGGUAGAAUUCCCGGUGUAGCGGUGAAAUGCGUAGAGAUCGGGAGGAAGACCAGUGGCGAAGGCGGCCUUCUGGACUGACACUGACACUGAGGUGCGAAAGCGUGGGUAGCAAACAGGAUUAGAUACCCUGGUAGUC
rnacentral:rRNA from 1 species